UACGAGGGGGGCGAGCGUUGUUCGGCAUUAUUGGGCGUAAAGGGUGCGUAGGCGGUUUGGUAAGUCUGAUGUGAAAUCUAUGGGCUCAACUCAUAGUCUGCAUCGGAAACUGCCGGGCUUGAGUGUGGGAGAGGUGAGUGGAAUUCCUGGUGUAGCGGUGAAAUGCGUAGAUAUCAGGAGGAACACCUGUGGCGAAAGCGGCUCACUGGACCAUAACUGACGCUGAUGCACGAAAGCUAGGGGAGCAAACAGG
rnacentral:rRNA from 1 species